rnacentral:tRNA from 2 species
GUCCCGGUAGCUCAGCUGGAUAGAGCGGUGCCCUCCUAAGGCAUAGGCCGUGGGUUCGACUCCCUCCCGGGACG